GCCUGGCUGGCUCAAUCAGUUAAGCGUCCGACUUCAGCUCAGGUCAUGAUCUCACGGUUCGUGGGUUCGAGCCCCGCAUCAGGCU
rfam:Felis catus isolate Cinnamon breed Abyssinian chromosome B4, whole genome shotgun sequence.